CAUUUUACUGUUGCCAUGGUUUCCAUGUACUUGGGAGAAGUGCAUCUUUGACCAAGUUCAGAGAUCAAUCAAAGUUGUGUCCCCGCCCACUGGUCAAUACGCCUCUGCUCAUUGGUCUAUGAGAGAAACUACGUCAGAGGAAAAUCCAGCGCCCCACAGUUCGAAACAUCAAAGACCUAAAAGAGCAGAGAUACAUGUGGAAUCCAUGACGGCUCCACAACCAAUCAGAAUCAAGAUCUGGGUCCCCUCAGAAAGCCCCGCCCUCACAGAAUUGGAGUCAGAGAGAUUAAUGCCUGCCGUCGAUGAGGCUGUGGGUGAAGUUUCAAGUUUAUUGUCAGUGAGGCCAGUUCAACACAGUCUGCUGCUGAACAGAGACAUAAACAAAUACUGCAAGUUCAUCUGGAGAAACAGCAGCACUGUUAACCACAUGAAAUGUGGCAGAGCCAAUGAAAACUACAGAUUCGAGAGCUGCCUUGGCGUAAUUAUCCCAGAUGAGCACCUGAAUGGCUGUGCUGUUUAUCCACAUCCUGAGCACCCAGUCCGGACAAUGCUGAGGUCAGAGGGGACUGGAGUUCCUGAGACUGACUUCCUGUUGUAUGUGUUCACUCACAGCACAGAGAAAUGCCAAGCAGAGUCUGGUGUACUGGCUUAUGCUGCUCACUGUCAGAGCGACUCAGAGGGGCGUCCUGUGGCUGGGGCCAUGAUCAUCUGUAGAGAGACACUCAGUAUGGAAAGAUACACACAUGAGCAUUUUGUGCAGACAGUGAUCCAUGAGCUCUUCCACGUGUUGGGGUUCAGUAAAGAUCUCUUCAGCCAAUGGAAGGAUUGUUCUCUCUCCUCUCAGGCUGGCGUAUACUGCUGGUCUCAUGGUCAGGUGACCAGCACAGAUGAGAUGGGCCAGGUUAGACUGUAUUCUCCUACUGUGAUCAGAGAAAUGCAGAAACACCUCAACUCUACCCACCCUGACCUUGGAGCUCCGCUAGAGAACAAGGAUGCUGGCUCAGAUGGUCUCUCGUCACACUGGGAGACUCGUGUGCUUCAGGGUUCCAUUAUGGCAGCUUUACUGGUGGAACCGUCACUGAUUCGGAUCGAUCCCAUCACACUUGCUGCCCUCCAGGACAUGGGCUGGUAUUCAGUGAACUUCAGUCGAGCUCAGAGCUUGGUGUGGGGAGAAGGUGAAGGCCAUCGGUUUGGGUCGGUCUCUACCUGCAAUUCUUCUGCUUUCUUUUGUAAAGACAGUGGAUUAGGUUGUCAUUACCUUCACUUCCACAAGGGGAAGUGUCUCACUGAUCAGUACCUGGAUGGCUGCCAGAUUUUCAAACCCCUGGGUAAUGCUAGUGAGUGCUGGAAAGAGGAGAAUCAGGGGAGUGGAAUGAAAGGGAGUGGAGAGAUUUAUGGCUCGGACAGCCGCUGUUUUAUUUCCAACCUCACCAGACGGAAUAACGUGACCAGUAGUGCAGCGGUGGCAGGUCAUUGUUACAGACACAGGUGCACAGGAAUAAACAAAUAUCAAAUUCGGGUGAUGGAUUCUGGUUGGUUGGAUUGUCCAGCAGGAAAGAGCAUCGAGGUGUCUGGUUAUCAGGGUUUAAUCUUCUGUCCAGACAACAGAAUAUGUAAAUAUUCUGAUUUAGCUCCUCCUACAUCAAGACAAAAGGCAGAUGACCUAAUAAACGCGGGCACAUCCAUUGAGAGUGGUGAUGAUGUGAUGGAGAAAGACAUGUCCACUUCUCAUCCCAGCUUCAUGCAUCGCUCCUCCAUCACAGUGUCUGAGGCAGAGGUCAUUGUGGCAGCAGUGCUGAGCAUCAUAUCUGCUUUCUCUCUACUGUCUGCUGGAGUGCUCAUCUACAGGAAGUGUUCAUCAGCCAGGGUCAGAGUACAUGCUGCCAGUGAGCCUUCAUUCAGGCCACAGACGCCUCCCACCCAAUGCAUCAGAAGGAACUGAUUGUUGAACCAAAAGUGGACAAAUAAUAGGAUUCAAAAAUAUCAAAAAAUCAAAAAAAUAUAUAUAUAUGUAACGACGAAAUACAAAAAUAAUGACUUUAUUCAACAAUUUGUCUCCUCUGUCUCUCCACAUCAGUCACAACCUCCAGGUUUUCAUCCAAAGUAUCUUAAAUUGUGUUCUGAAGGCAAACUAAGUUUUUACACCAUGGGGAGUGUUUGAUUUCUUGACCUAUCUUCAUUGUGACCUGGAUCAUCUGCUGCACAAUCGUGAGCAUUUUCAUCUCCGGAGUCUGUGGUGAGAGGGGUGAAUACAGUCAUACAGCUCAAUAUAGUAAUAUCAAAAACUUCUUAAAAAUGUGUUGUGAAUAUCAGAAAUGACUUUAUGAUUCUAGUGCUUUAAGAAUACAUCUAUAUGAUCUCACUGCCUGACAUUUCUCAUUGGUGUAUUUCAGAUCAGUGCAGAGCUCAAUGUGGUAAUCAGAUCAAACACGUAUAUCAUAAAAUAUGUUUUUACGCUGCACCUGCAACCCUAAUUAGGACAAGUUUUUGGGAAUAUGGACUGACAUUCAUUUUAAUAUAAAAUUAAUAUGAUGUAAGACUCACUUUGCUCAUUUUCACUUCAGAGUGUUUGAUUUUGUGAUCUAUCUUCAUUGUGUCCUGGAUCAUGUGCUGCACAAGUUUGUGCGUCUUCAUCUCCUGAGUCUGUGAUGAGAGGGGAAAAUACAGAUGCUUUACAUCAUCCAGUGUGUUUUAAGAUUUCUAAUAACCGUUUAUUGUUGUUGUAAAUAAAUUAUCAUGUUACCUUC